CACGUUAAGAUGUAUUAAAAGUCACCCUUUUCACGUAUCUGAUAAUCAAACUUUCUUUGUUUCGUCGGUCCGCAGCACAAAACGAAGAGAAAAUGACGAUUCCUACGUUGGAAUCUGACAUCUAAGGUGGCAUCCUUACUGAAAUAUUAAAAAGCUACAGUACAUGACAACAACUGAGCAAAACAUGGCUCAACAGCUAGGUUGAAGGAUAUGGCCACUGAAUGUGAGGAUUUGAAUCAUGGCCAGAAAAUGCAACAGUUUGGGGUCAACGUCACUCAUCAACCACGUUACUUUCUGGUUCCCGACCAACAUGUUCCAGUGAUUCUUCAUCAAAUUUAGACACACAGUCCAUAGGUUCUUAAUUCUUUUUACCAAGACAAUAAUAGUACCACGUUUGGGAGCCUUAUAGGUGUUUCCAACAUUUUAGAGCUAUCUAGAAGAUCGCUAAGAAGAGCAAAAAUAAAAGGAUUGAAGAGAAAGAGGUGCAAGAAGUCAAAGUCCAGGUCAUGGACUCAUGGUUAUUAUGUCUGUGCUGAAGUAGCUAGUAGUACUAGUAGUAACCCUGAUGCUGAGAACAAUCCUCCAUCUCUUGGUCAAUUUCUUGCACUAGAAAGAAGAAGCUGUUAAUGAAAAUAGAAAGAAGCAAAUCCCUCUUAAUGAGUGUUGCAUUGACUCAAACUCAAACCAUUGAAACACAUUCAUUAAUUAUUUGUGAAUGGCACUAUUGAUCCAUCUCAGUCCAUCAGUGUUCAAGGCAGAGUCCUCCACAGAGAGAACGCAUGCAGGGCAUCAGGAUACGACAACACGCAUGGUUUGACUCACUUGCAGAAAUAUGUUUGUAAUUGUAUUAUUAUUUUUAUGCACAAGAUUCUCGUGGUUAACUAAAGACUUGCUGCGGAUAUAUGUUUGUGUGGACAAGCUUCUAAGGGCAUGCUUGAUUUUGAGAUGGGAGAUUUGAGCUUUUAAUGUUUGCUUUUCAA